GAUGAAGAAACGUAGCGAAAUGCGAUAAGUAAUGUGAAUUGCAGAAUUCCGUGAAUCAUCGAAUCUUUGAACGCACAUUGCGCCCUCUGGUAUUCCGGGGGGCAUGCCUGUCCGAGCGUCAUUUGCAACCCUCAAGCCCGGCUUGUGUGAUGGGUGCCGUCCCCUACGGGACGCGCCCCGAAGGCAAUGGCGGCGUCGCGGUUAUCCGAUCAGCCAAAGUGUAUGGGGCUUUGUCACUCACUUUACGGCCCGGACCGGCGCCAGUCCGAAUCAAUCUUUUUUCUAAAGUUGACCUCGGAUCAGGUAGGGAUACCCGCUGAACUUAAGCAUAUCAAUAAGCGGAGGA
rnacentral:misc_RNA from 1 species